UACCGCCCUCCAGCGGCGCGGGGGGCUGUCCGCUGCCGCCCUGACCCCCGAGCCCCCUUGUAGGGCCGCAGGCCAGAGCCACUGGGGGCUAUUCCGAGAGCCCCACCUACUCAAUGUCAUGGGCCAGCAGGGGCUGCACCGCGGCUAGGGCUGCUUGUGUCCCCCCCAGCCGGGCAGCUCUCGGCCUCUCAGUGCUUUGGGGGCCGGCGGAGCUCAGCGCUCGGGACGUUGCCGGUCCAAGGCCCUGCCUUUACUAGGUCUGGCUCUGACUAGUCGGUGCUAGCGGCAGCCUCCCCUCCGCCAGCUCUGGAGGCAGUCAUCCCUGCUGGGGACCCACCGAAAAUGUUCGAAUUGGUCCCGCACUUCCUAAAGCCGGCCCUGCCAACCUGGACCAUACCAUGUCCCUGAAGGACACCAGAAUCUGGUAGAUUGUGUUUGGGAUUUUCAAAAGUACAAAGUGACUUAGGAGCACAACUCCCAUUGACUUUCAAAAACGUUGCCCUAUGUAAAUAUUUCUGGUGAAAUGUUCUUAAGAACAAACGCUUCCAUCCAGUUGAAGACAAACUGUGGUUGACCCAACUGUGUAAAUGAGAAGAACUUUCACAAAUGUUAUCACACAAGACCAUACACAUCCCUGAAGGAAAAAAAAUCUGAAUAUCAUUUUUUCCAGAUCCUACUGAGUUCAGUCACAAUAUCAGAACACAGCAAGUAAGAUUAAAACAAAUGAAGUUCCUCUGUGGAGCAAAAAAACAAGAUCUAUUGCUGUUGCAUCAGACUUCAGCAUUGAACACUGCUGCUCACCAGAAAUCUAUUUUACCAUCCCCAGAGCAGCUUUUUCACUAAUGAUCCAGUAGAUGGAGAGCUUGCACUUCCCCCUACUGGACGCGGCAGGGUGUGUAUACUAGAAUACAUAUCCUGCUACAGGAUUUUAAUUGGGAGAUUAAACCUGAGUUUUAUUCGUCAGUGGAUUUACAUGCUACGAGUUGCCACAGUUUUGACAUUUCACUAGUAGAGUCAUAGAAAAAUCUAUAUUAAGGUUUGUUUGUUUGUUUGUACUAACCAGGUUAAAAUUUGGCCUAUCUACAUAAUGUAACAUGGUUUUCUUCAUUUGGAUUAACUCCCAUACCAUACAUAUAGCACAUCAGGCACAAUAUGUUUCUUUUAAAUUGUAUGGACCGAAGCAUUGUGAUAUAUUUGUACCUGUUUGAACUGCUGUCAAAUACUUUCAAGUCUGCUUAUAUGGCUUUUUCCUGCUGGUACUCAGCUGAAUAGAGAUGGUUUGGAUAAAACACUAAUAUAUGCAUGCCUUCACCCAAAAUUUGAAAUGAAUCUUUUGUAAGGUUUAAACAAGUUUUAAAAUGAGAAGGGAGGGGAGGGGAGGAGAACGGUUUCACUUGUUCCCUUCCUCUGCACUUUCUGGUUCUAACUCACUGUGAAAGUAUCUAUAUGCUGAAAGGUUUCAGAGGGAUAGCCGUGUUAGUCUGUAUCAGGAAAAACAACUAGUAGUAC